GACAGAGGAGGCAAGCGUUGUCCGGACUGACUGGGCGUAAAGCGCGCGCAGGCGGAUCUGGGCGUCGGUGCUCAAAGGCCCCCGCUUAACGGGGGACGGCGUGCCGAUACGCCAGGUCUGGAGGGCGGGCGAGGGUGGUGGAAUUGCCGGUGUAGUGGUGAAAUGCGUAGAGAUCGGCAGGAACACCCGUGGCGGAGGCGGCCACCUAGCCCGCUCCUGACGCUGAGGCGCGACAGCGUGGGCAGCGAACGGG
rnacentral:rRNA from 1 species